GGUGGACAGAGUUACCCUGUUGCUGGUGAGCGGUAGGAAGUGGAAGAUAUCUUGUGGAAUGAGUCAAGUAGCACAAAAUCUGGUUAUCUGGUUAGCAUCCAGCCUAUUAUAUUUGCAAAGCAAUCACCUGCUCAUAUGGCGCCACCCUUGUGCUUCAAAACAGAAAUUACAGUAAUUUUUUUGGACAAGAACUGCAAUAUAGAAACUAUUCCAGGUUGUUUGCUGGUAGAGGUGACUAUUCAAUUCUAUCAAAGAAGAUAGCCACUGUGAUGCCACAAGUAGGGUCUGAAGAGGGUGAGGUGUAUGCAUACCUUACCCCUACUCUUCUGUGUGGUAGAGAAGUUGUUUCCGAUAAAUAUUCUAUCAGGUAACACUGAACAUGAUUAAAGUGGCAUCAGUCUGUAAGAAUGAUAUUUCAUUCAAUUUCGGAUGUUUUUUCUCGUUAUAUGUUACAUAUUAUAGUGUCAAGAUUGUUAUCCGAUAAUGAAAUUAUGCUUUAGUAUAUAUUGAUUUUAAUGCUUUAUGGUUUACAAUUCAGACGCCGAAACUCAUUGCCCAUGGAUAAAUAAAAACCGUUUCAACAUCAAAAACAACAAUACGCACCUGUGAUGAGGUCAUGAGUUCAAGCACCUGUGAUGAGGUCAUGAGUUCAAGCGUUGGAAACAUCCUCUGACAGUAAUGUAAGGAAAGACUACGUACAAUACGCACCUGUGGUAGGGCUCUUCCCCGAAUGCUGGGCAUAGCAGGAGUUUUAGUACACCGAGAUGCCCUUUUAUCUACAUAAUAUUUAACCAAAUAUUAUCUAACACCUUAAUUGUUUUAUGGUUCAUAAUUCCUAAUAUAUAUCUCCAAUAUAUAGUAAAUAAGACUAAAAAAAUUAAACUUUCAGUUAUCCACAAGUGAAA
rnacentral:lncRNA from 1 species